rnacentral:tRNA from 1 species
UGGGACGUCGUCAAGUGGUAAGACACCAGAUUUUGAUUCUGGCAUUCGCAGGUUCGAGUCCUGCCGUCCCAGCCA